rnacentral:ncRNA from 1 species
AAAGACUUAGUCCUAACCUUACCGUUAGUUCCUACCAGACAUAUACAUGCAAGUAUCCGCGCCCCAGUGUAAAUGCCCUUAAUCUCUUACUAAGAAAGUAGGAGCAGACAUCAGGCACACCUAUAACUUGUAGCCCAAGACGUCUUGCUCAGCCACACCCCCACGGGUACUCAGCAGUAAUUAACAUUAAGCAAUAAGUGUAAACUUGACUUAGUUAUGGUAGACUUAGGGUUGGUAAAUCUUGUGCCAGCCACCGCGGUCACACAAGAGACCCAAAUUAACAGUACACGGCGUAAAGCGUGGUGAUACGCUAUCACUAAGACUAAGACCGAAAUGCAACCAAGCUGUCAUAAGCCCAAGAUGCCUCUAAGGCCUCCAAUAUGAUCUUAGCACCCUGAUUAACUUUAUCCCACGAAAGCUAAGGCACAAACUGGGAUUAGAUACCCCACUAUGCUUAGCCCUAAAUCUUGGCGCUUUACUCUACCUACAAGCGCCCGCCCGGGAACUACGAGCACAAACGCUUAAAACUCUAAGGACUUGGCGGUGCCCCAAACCCACCUAGAGGAGCCUGUUCUAUAAUCGAUAAUCCACGUUACACCCGACCGCUCCUAGCCAAAUCAGCCUACAUACCGCCGUCGCCAGCUCACCUCUACUGAGAGCUCAACAGUGAGCAUAAUAGCUCAAACCCGCUAACAAGACAGGUCGAGGUAUAGCCCAUGGAGCGGAAGAAAUGGGCUACAUUUUCUAACAUAGAAUACCACGCAAAGGAAGUGUGAAACCACCCCCAAAGGCGGAUUUAGCAGUAAAGCGGAACAAUAAAGUCCCCUUUAAGCUGGCCCUGGGGCACGUACAUACCGCCCGUCACCCUCCUCACAAGCUACAAAUUCCUAUAAAUAAUACUCCUACCAGCUGAAGAUGAGGUAAGUCGUAACAAGGUAAGUGUACCGGAAGGUGCACUUAGCAUAA